UACGGGGGGAGCAAGCGUUGUUCGGAUUUACUGGCGUAAAGGGCGCGUAGGCGGUCAGCACAAGUCAGUUGUGAAAUCUCCGGGCUUAACUCGGAAAGGUCAACUGAUACUGUGCGACUAGAGUGCGGAAGGGGCAACUGGAAUUCUCGGUGUAGCGGUGAAAUGCGUAGAUAUCGAGAGGAACACCUGCGGCGAAGGCGGGUUGCUGGGCUGAUACUGACGCUGAGGCGCGAAAGCCAGGGAGCAAACGGG
rnacentral:rRNA from 1 species